rnacentral:rRNA from 1 species
CCUACGGGCGGCAGCAGUAGGGAAUAUUGCUCAAUGGGGGAAACCCUGAAGCAGCAACGCCGCGUGGAGGAUGAAGGUUUUCGGAUUGUAAACUCCUUUUGUUAGAGAAGAUAAUGACGGUAUCUAACGAAUAAGCACCGGCUAACUCCGUGCCAGAAGCCGCGGUAAUACGGAGGGUGCAAGCGUUACUCGGAAUCAAUGGGCGUAAAGCGCGCGUAGGCGGGAUAGCAAGUCAGAUGUGAAAUCCUAUGGCUUAACCAUAGAACUGCAUUUGAAACUGUUAUUCUAGAGUAUGGGAGAGGUAGGUGGAAUUCUUGGUGUAGGGGUAAAAUCCGUAGAGAUCAAGAGGAAUACUCAUUGCGAAGGCGACCUGCUAGAACAUAACUGACGCUGAUGCGCGAAAGCGUGGGGAGCAAACAGGAUUAGAUACCCGGGUAGUC